GCUCCGCAGGCGGUUUCUUAAGUCUGAUGUGAAAGCCCCCGGCUCAACCGGGGAGGGUCAUUGGAAACUGGGGAACUUGAGUGCAGAAGAGGAGAGUGGAAUUCCACGUGUAGCGGUGAAAUGCGUAGAGAUGUGGAGGAACACCAGUGGCGAAGGCGACUCUCUGGUCUGUAACUGACGCUGAGGAGCGAAAGCGUGGGGAGCGAACAGGAUUAGAUACCCUGGUAGUCCACGCCGUAAACGAUGAGUGCUAAGUGUUAGGGGGUUUCCGCCCCUUAGUGCUGCAGCUAACGCAUUAAGCACUCCGCCUGGGGAGUACGGUCGCAAGACUGAAACUCAAAGGAAUUGACGGGGGCCCGCACAAGCGGUGGAGCAUGUGGUUUAAUUCGAAGCAACGCGAAGAACCUUACCAGGUCUUGACAUCCUCUGACAACCCUAGAGAUAGGACGUCCCCCUCCGGGGCACAGAGACACGUGGGGCAUGUGUGUCGCCACCUCUCGUCGCGAGAUGUUGCGUUAAGUCUCGCAACGAGCGCUACCCUUGAGCUU
rnacentral:rRNA from 1 species